rnacentral:tRNA from 1 species
GUGAGGGUUCAAGUCCCUCUAUCCCCA